rnacentral:rRNA from 1 species
AUGAACGCUGGCGGCGUGCCUAAUCCAUGCAAGUCGAGCGAACAGACGAGGAGCUUGCUCCUCUGACGUUAGCGGCGGACGGGUGAGUAACACGUGGAUAACCUACCUAUAAGACUGGGAUAACUUCGGGAAACCGGAGCUAAUACCGGAUAAUAUAUUGAACCGCAUGGUUCAAUAGUGAAAGACGGUUUUGCUGUCACUUAUAGAUGGAUCCGCGCCGCAUUAGCUAGUUGGUAAGGUAACGGCUUACCAAGGCAACGAUGCGUAGCCGACCUGAGAGGGUGAUCGGCCACACUGGAACUGAGGCACGGUCCAGACUCCUACGGGAGGCAGCAGUAGGGAAUCUUCCGCAAUGGGCGAAAGCCUGACGGAGCAACGCCGCGUGAGUGAUGAAGGUCUUCGGAUCGUAAAACUCUGUUAUUAGGGAAGAACAAAUGUGUAAGUAACGAUGCACGUCUUGACGGUACCUAAUCAGAAAGCCACGGCUAACUACGU